rnacentral:rRNA from 1 species
AACGCGAAGAACCUUACCUGGGCUCGAACGGCUUAAGAUCGACUGUAGAAAUAUGGUUUUCCCGCAAGGGACUUGAGUCGAGGUGCUGCAUGGCUGUCGUCAGCUCGUGUCGUGAGAUGUUGGGUUAAGUCCCGCAACGAGCGCAACCCUUACUCAUAGUUGCUACCCGCAAGGGAGAACUCUAUGAGGACUGCUCCGGAUAACGGAGAGGAAGGUGGGGAUGAGGUCAAGUCAGCAUGGCCUUUAUGUCCAGGGCUACACACGUGUUACAAUGCGCGCUACAGAGCGUUGCAAACCCGCGAGGGGGAGCUAAUCGCACAAAAGCGCGCUCAGUUCGGAUUGCAGUCUGCAACUCGACUGCAUGAAGCCGGAAUCGCUAGUAAUGGCGCAUCAGAACGGCGCCGUGAAUACGUUCCCGGGCCUUGUACACACCGACUGUAC